rnacentral:rRNA from 1 species
GAGUUUGAUCAUGGCUCAGAACGAACGCUGGCGGCGUGCCUAACACAUGCAAGUCGAGCGGGAAAUUCCCUUCGGGGAGUGAGUACAGCGGCGAACGGGUGAGUAACACGUAGGUAACCUACCCUGGAGACUGGGAUAACCUGCCGAAAGGCGGGCUAAUACUAGAUAAGACCACGAGGGCCACGGCUCUUGAGGUAAAAGGUGGCCUCUACUUGUAAGCUACCACUCUGGGAUGGGCCUGCGCGCCAUUAGCUAGUUGGUGAGGUAACGGCUCACCAAGGCUGAGAUGGCUAGCUGGUCUGAGAGGAUGGCCAGCCACACUGGGACUGAGACACGGCCCAGACUCCUACGGGAGGCAGCAGUGGGGAAUCUUGCGCAAUGGGCGAAAGCCUGACGCAGCGACGCCGCGU